rnacentral:tRNA from 1 species
CCCUGGGUGGUGCAAAUGGUUAACGUGCUUGGCUGCUAACCAAAAGGCUGGAGGUUCAAAUCCACCCAGGGA